CUGAAAGCUAGCUCGCUGGGGCAGCCCUGACUUGGUUAGUGAUCGAGGACGAGUCACCCUUUUUCCUUGCAGGACCUCAGAAACCGGAAGGAGAAACAGGGCUAUCUGUGACGCCCAAGCAUCCGUGACACCCUAUCAUCUUCCGCCUACCUGGGUAUGCUAGAUAAAGAAAGCAGGGCGCGAUUGCGUGGCAGGAUGACUCUACACCAGUUUGAAGGCAAUUCAUGGUGUGUAAAAUCUGUUACUGCCAGGCAGGGGAAGAAGUAGUCCCGUGGUCCAGCUGUGCCGUAAAAGGAGCUGAGACAUAUGAAGAGAUUUCAAAAGAAGUCCCUAGGGAACACAAGGAACUGUCAGAGCCACAUCCAAUGCUAUUGAUGAGUAAAACAGGAGUAAGGAGG